CUUAGCAGAGAUGCUUUGGUGCCCUUCGGGAACUCUGAGACAGGUGCUGCAUGGCUGUCGUCAGCUCGUGUUGUGAAAUGUUGGGUUAAGUCCCGCAACGAGCGCAACCCUUAUCCUUUGUUGCCAGCGGUCCGGCCGGGAACUCAAAGGAGACUGCCAGUGAUAAACUGGAGGAAGGUGGGGAUGACGUCAAGUCAUCAUGGCCCUUACGAGUAGGGCUACACACGUGCUACAAUGGCGCAUACAAAGAGAAGCGACCUCGCGAGAGCAAGCGGACCUCAUAAAGUGCGUCGUAGUCCGGAUUGGAGUCUGCAACUCGACUCCAUGAAGUCGGAAUCGCUAGUAAUCGUAGAUCAGAAUGCUACGGUGAAUACGUUCCCGGGCCUUGUACACACCGCCCGUCACACCAUGGGAGUGGGUUGCAAAAGAAGUAGGUAGCUUAACCUUCGGGAGGGCGCUUACCACUUUGUGAUUCAUGACUGGGGUGAAGUCGUAACAAGGUAGGCGUACGUGU
rnacentral:rRNA from 1 species